GGGGUCUAAUCAGAGCUAUAGCUGCCAGCCUACGCCACAGCCAUGCCAGAUUGUUAACCCACUGAGUGAGGCCGGGGAUUGAACCUGUGACCUCAUGGUUCCUAGUCAGACUCAUUUCCACUGAGCCAUGACGGGAACUCCCAAAUUUUCUUAUUUACUCAUCUUUGUUUGGUUUGUUUGAUGUUAUAUGAUGAAGUAUAUAUAAUAUUUUGAAAGGAAUAAAAUUAUGAACCAUAUAAUAUUUUAUUCUUAGUUUAAUGCCAAAAUUAAGAUCAUAGUUAUAGAAUUUUAAGUUUCCACUUAUGUAAGAGACAGUUAAGAAAUUUCAUAGUAUCUAGUAAUAUCAAAGGCGUAACAAAUAAAAAUGUUCAUAAUCUUCUGGUGAUAAAUUAAAUUAAUGGAUGCAACUUUUCUAGAGAGGAGUUGACAACAUUUGGCAAUAUUUAAAUACUUUUGCUUUAUUUUUGACCCAAUGAUCAGAAGAAGUAAGUACAGGACAAUCUUUUUGCUAUUGUUAGGAAAUGCAGAAAUAUAUUCAAAUGAGGAUAAUCAGUUAAACAGACUAUGGAUCAUCCAUAGGUUAAAACAAACAAAGAAGCAAAAAGCCUUGUGCAUUCAUGAGGAAGAAAGUAAAUUUCUAAAGGCUAAAAAAAAUACUCUAAGAUAUAUUAGUGAAUACAGUAAGCAACAAAAAGUGUGUGUAAUAUGAAUGAUCACCUUUGUAACAGAAAUGGCAAAAAUAACCCUCAAAAAUUAUGCAUGAUAGAAUAAUUUGUUAGUCAUAUAACAAAUCACCCAUCAAUAGGCUUCACAAAUAAUAUAUCAAAAACAUUCAAAAUAUAUAGUUGAGAGCAGAGCAAAGAUAAGAAAUGACGUGCCAGAAACAUGAGAUGGAGAAAAGAGAGAGGUUAAAAGUAGCAGUUGAUGAUUCACUCAUGUGAGCUGAUGUUGUAUGUCUGUGAAACACUGGGAUGUAAAGUGGUCCCCAGCAUUACAGGUGGUAGGAAGUGUACUCCUUGCAUGGGUCUGAGUUAAGAUGGGACUUUUGCUCUCUUAAAAUUGGAAAUCUAAAAAUGCCCCUGGCCCACGGACAUGGCACGGAGGCAGGCUGCCUACACUUGGCCAUAGGUGGCCAAACAGUCACUGAAAAGAAAUCGGCAGAAUUAAAAACAAAAUCUGGGAACUAUGUCUGGUCACUUAUGAUGGAGCAUGAAAAUGUGAGAAAAAAGAAUGUAUACAUGUAUGUGUAACUGGGUCACCAUGCUGUACAGUAGAAAAAAAAAUAAUAAUGUACUGGGGAAAUAAAAAAUAAAAUAAAAUUUAAAAAAAAUCUGCCCAUAGUACUUAUAAAAAGAGGAUACCUGCAAAACUCCCAGAGAAGACAAUACACCCUGAAGAUAAACUCACAAAGUACAAGAAAACACAUGAAAAACCACCAGGAGAGUCUCCACCAAAGCAGAAAAGAGACCAACUCAUUCUAUAUAAAUACUGUUAAUUUAGUUAAUUGGGAAAUUUGUAGGACGUUUAAAAACUCUGACCAAAAUCUACUAUGGAAAAUUUCUUUCAGUAAAGAUGCUAAGAGAAUAAUAUGUCAUUAAGUGAAAAAACAAUAUGAUAAGAAAAUUACUAUGAUUCUAGUAAAUGAACAGACAGACCACAAACAUAUAAUUUAUAAACAUACAAUUAGGAAUACAUCAAGAGAACUGGGCAAACAAGAGACAAGAAAGUAAGAGAUACAAUAAGGAAUAUCUUUUUCACAAAUCUAAUUAGCAGAAUAUAUUAACCAAUGCUAGCAACAAUGAGCUGCAAGAAUCACUCUCACAAUUUCGUGUGUAUGCUCAUGUGUGUGUGUAGCAUAAUGCUUUUGAAUAGGAUAUUGGCAGUAUUCGUACAGAACCAUAAAUUGUCAAUAAUUGGUUUCUUAAUUAUCUUAAAGAUCUUACUCAAUGAAAACUAUAGUAAAUGUACAAUGUUCUGUUAGUUCAAAUAUAGACCAGUACUAUAUACAGAAGAGUCCAGUGGAUUUUUGCCUAGAUCUAAAAAAUGAUGUUUAUAGAAAAUACAAAAUAAUAUCUACUAUGCACCUACUAAUAACAUCUGCUAUAAUGCUUGGUGUGUAACUGCUCAAAAAUGUUUGUUGAAUAAUGAACAGAUAAAAGAGGAAUUAAAUCCAUCAAAAUAAAAGCAUAAAUAUAUAUUUUAUGUAUAAGGUCAUAUAAUGUUAUAUGUUAUAAAUAAUGUUAGCUGAAAAACAUAGGAAAGCUAAGACAUCCUCAUCAAAACUAUAAGUUGUGAGAAUAUUUGACUAAAAUUCUUAAAAGCAAAGCUUUUGAAUUAUAGUUUAAUCAAAAUAUUUAUUAAUAUAUGAAUAAUUCAAUUUACUAGAUACUUUGUGUUAUUUGCCCUUUCUACUAUUUAAUAAUGUCAAAGUAGGUAUUAUUUUAUAGUAAUAAUGAAAGGGACAUAUAAGUUUUUAAAACCCAAAUCAGAACACAUACACUUUAGGGAAAAAAAAUGAAUACAUACAUGAAUUCAUUCUCUCUAAAUGCUAAGUUCCUAUUUUAGUCUAUAAUUUUCUUCCAUGGUUGUCUUAGUCUUAGGCAGUUUGGGCUGUUAUAACAAAAGACCAUAGACUGCGUAGUUUAAACAACAAGCAUUUAUUUCUCACAAUUUCUGGAGGCUCAAAGGAGUAGCUUCCCUCUUCCUGUGUCCUUACAUGCCUUUCCUUUGAGAGUACAACCUCUCGUGUCUCUUCCUCUUCCUCUUCUCCCACUAAUCCCACCUUGAGUGAACCACCCUUAUGACAUAAUUGAAUACUAAUUACCUCCAAAAACCAUCACAUCAGGAAUUAGAGAUUCCACACAGGAAUUUUGGGAGAGCAUACAAUCAGUCCUUACAAAUGACUAUAUAAUGAAAUUACACUGUAUUAUUUUUUAAUUUAUGAAGUAUUUUAAUGUAAUUUUCAUUACUUUUUUGUUCUUUCAUUGGCUCUUAUCUUACCUCUUAAAGCAGGUGCCAUUAUGAAAAAAUCCUUCUUUUAUUUAAAAUUCUCUCUCUUCACAUUAGUAAAGUUUGCUCAAUUUCUAUUCUUCUUCUUUUUUUUUUUAAUGGCUGUACUCAGGAUAUAUGGAAGCUCCCUGGCUACAGACUGAAUCCAAGCCACAGCUGCAACCUAUGCCACAGCUGCAGUGCGGCAAUGCUGGAUCCUUUAACCCACUGCUCUAGACUGGAAUCAAACCUGCACCUCUGCAGCAACUAGAGAUGCUGAAGUUGAAUUUUUUUUCUUUUUUUAGGGCUGCACCUGCAGCAUAUGGAAGUUCCCAGGCUAGGGGUCAAAUUGGAGCCACAGCUGUGGGCCUAUGCCACGGCCACAUCAACUCUGGAUCCUCAAUCCACUGAGCAAGGCCAGAGAUCAGACCAGCAUCCUCAUGUUACUGGAAAGAUGUUACCAGAAUCCAGGUUCUUCACGGAGCUGAAGAAUGAACCUCGUGAACACACAGGCGGAAAGCAAGCAAAAGUCUUUAUCAUAGGAAAGCAGACAGCUCCAAGCACACACACCGGGAAGGGGAGGAAGACUUCCCAUCCUCUAAUUUUCUAAGGAGGUUUUAUCUCUUAAAGAUAGGGGUACCAAUGUGGUGUCCUUCUAUCAGUCAUUUUCCCUACUGGCCUUGCCCAGCACCUAUAUUGGGCCUUGUCCAAUAGGGGAUUAGAGUUAGGUUAUGCCCCAUAUGUUUUAUGGUCCUUUUGUUCUUCUUUCCCU
rnacentral:lncRNA from 1 species